AACGAACGCUGGCGGCAGGCUUAACACAUGCAAGUCGAACGAGAUCUUCGGAUCUAGUGGCAGACGGGUGAGGAACACGUGGGAACAUCCCUUUCAGUUCGGAAUAACGUUGGGAAACUAACGCUAAUACCGGAUACGUCCUUCGGGAGAAAGAUUUAUCGCUGAAAGAUUGGCCCGCGUCUGAUUAGCUAGUUGGUGAGGUAAUGGCUCACCAAGGCUACGAUCAGUAGCUGAUCUGAGAGGAUGAUCAGCCACAUUGGGACUGAGACACGGCCCAAACUCCUACGGGAGGCAGCAGUGGGGAAUAUUGGACAAUUGGCGCAAGCUUGAUCCAGCCAUGCCGCGUGAGUGAUGACGGCCUUCGGGUUAUAAAGCUCUUUUGUCCGGGAAGAUAAUGACUGUACCGGAAGAAUAAGCCCCGGCAAACUUCGUGCCAGCAGCCGCGGUAA
rnacentral:rRNA from 1 species